UAUUUGAGACACUCCUUGCAAUAUCUAAAUGGUCUUCAACAUUUUCAAUUGAAAUACAAUCCCCGGGAUCUGGAAAUGAUGUCACUAAAUUGUCAUCAGGUCGAACACUAGUUGUGUGGCUUAAAAGUUCUGAGCUGCAUACAUUAUUUCCUUUACUACUAUCAUCGUUUCCUAGUUUUUCUUUGUCAACAAAAGUUGAAUCGAUAGGAGAAGCUUGAAUUAAAUCUAUCAUUGUAUUUUCUGAAGCUUGAUAUUCAUGCAGAACUUAAGGUAUAUCCUCCAUAGGGCUAUAUUCUGUGUUUGCGGAAGUUUCUCGAUUUGCAAGACCUACUUCAUGGUGAGAACGGUUUGAAGUUAUAGAGAAAAUGAACCAGCGGUGCUUGGAGGCUUAAUCCUUAAGUCAUGUCCGCAGUCUGCAUCCAAUUUCCGGCCACUCAACUGCCUGUGCAUAUGAAACUCUGUUUGUUUAGUAGAGCUAAAAUCAGUUGAUGAUGGUGCAAAAUAACUGCCAGGUCUCGUAGAGCUUCUUAUACUGUUUAAAAUUGUCUCUUGAAAGAGACAGGUCAUCAUAAGAUAUAGUUGUGGCAGUAAAUGUCCUUGCCCGAACAAUAGGUCCUUUGUUGUUUCUGGACCUUUUCAACAAUACAGAAAUGCCGGUGGCUUCCAUGGGGUCCAUGUCCAUAUCUGGGAGAUCAUUGUAGUGAUCUAACAAUUGAUCCCCAAUUUCAUCAACUCCUGAUUGGUUCAUCUCUAGCCAGUUUGCAGGCUUAUGCUCACCUCCCUCCUUCAGUGAACUUGGAUUUGAACUGUGAUAAAUGCAUGUCUUCUGUACAAAAAGCAAACCAAAUUGUAAUGCAUGCCCAAUGAGAGCUGAAUGCCGACACUUUGCUAGUUCAUUUGCAAGGUAUCCAUGCAUUUCUUAAAAUUCUGAGGGGAAGACUAUGCGGCAUUAGGUAGAACUAUGUUCUCAUGCAUUAGGACUUUAGAAGGCAUUGUAAAUAUUAUUCUUAACAAUGUACUCCUUGAUCAUGCUGCCAAGGUUGUGCACACAUCUAACACAUCAUUCCUUUUCUUCUUUGCAGGUGUUCCUACAACAUGUCUUCAUAGGCGCGUUGAGCGAUCCGGUUCCUUGAGUAAGAAGCUCUUGGCUGCAAGUACCGCUGCAUAUUCCAAAUCUCAUGC
rnacentral:lncRNA from 1 species